rnacentral:rRNA from 1 species
AACGCGAAGAACCUUACCUGGCCUUGACAUGCAUCUCUAAACCGGUGAAAGCCGGCGAGUCUCGAAAGAGACAAUUUGCACAGGUGCUGCAUGGCUGUCGUCAGCUCGUGUCGUGAGAUGUUGGGUUAAGUCCCGCAACGAGCGCAACCCUUGUGAACUGUUGCCACUCCGGCGUGAGCCGGAAGCACUCUGUUCAGACUGCCCUGUGAAACGGGGAGGAAGGUGAGGACGACGUCAAGUCAGUAUGGCCCUUACGGCCAGGGCUGCACACGUACUACAAUGCCCAGUACAGAAUGAUCCGAGACCGCAAGGUGGAGGAAAUCUCCUAAAACUGGGCCCAGUUCGGAUUGAAGUCUGCAACUCGACUUCAUGAAGCCGGAAUCGCUAGUAAUGGCGCAUCAGCUACGGCGCCGUGAAUACGUUCCCGGGCCUUGUA